AAGACCAUUCAGAUGAGGCAGGUUGCUUUUACCUUCACCUCCCUCAUACUCCUCCUUGGUAAUCUACAUGAAACCUCUUGACUCACACGCUUUGCCCUUGCUGGAAACCUUGGCGAGGCAAGUGAAAAUAUACUGAUUUUUGUGCACAUUAUUUGGCUGGAGAACUAACUGCAUUGUGAAAUUUGGAGAGGUGCGAAUUUCAAAAGAUGGCUGUGUUUUGGUUCACAUAUUGUUUUGGAACGUGCAAAUUAGCUGGAGAACGUUGAAACAAGAAUGACUUCAGUUGUUUCUGGAAACUACAAAUGAAUGGAUGCCUGUCAUAUGUCUACACAGAUGCUGUUCCACAAAACAAGCACAGGCAUGCAGAACCCCCUAUUCUGAGUUUCCGAGGAGGAGGCUUUUGAUAUUUUAGGAAUUUCAUGGAGAGACUCACUUGCAGAGCGCAGCAAGGGACAAUUUCUCAAGUAACCUGGCCCUGAGUUGUACAAGGCUAACAACAAGAAGUUAACAUCUAUAUAGCAGUUUAGAGCUAUAGAUCCAUUAUUUAAGUAAUCCUUACAACAGUCUUGUAAAGUAGGGCAGUAUUAUGCUGGGUUGGCAAUAUCAACUCACAGGACUGUUUGUUUCAGAUUUACUGUGGUACUUUUCACAUGGUAGUAACCUUAGGACAAAAAGAGGUGUGUGUGUGUGUGUAAAAUAAAAAUAGGACAGUGUAAAAGGGGAAGGAAAGACUUUCAGAAGAACUUAGGAAAUUCAGAGAGAAGAGAUGACGAGAUGAUGUACCUAAUUUGUCUCGGAAAUGCUAUAUUAGUUUGUAAUGUGUCUCUGUGUUUUUAUAAUUAUGGAAACUAAUAAAAAAAUUUAAAGUAGAAGAGGCUAUGCAGGGCCAGCACCAGGCAUGACUGGGUGGGCACCAUCCUGCCUGGGCCCAUGGCACUCGCCCACACGCCACACCUACCUCUCCCAUCGCCUCAGUGUGAAUGCCAUGCACGUGGCAG